GGGGACGCUACGGAUUCGACAGGGAUAGUUCGAGCUUAGGUUGCGAGUCGAGGGGAUCGGCCUCGUUAAAACGUCAAAGCCUAUAACUGGCAAACAACAAAACAACUUCGCUUUAGCUGCUUAAUAGCGCUUAGCGGUUCCUCCCUCCAUCGCCCAUGUGGUAGGGUCAGGGACUCACUUUAAGUGGGCUACGCCGGAUUCCACCGUCUGAGGAAGAAGGAAGAGAACAACCAGACUAGCUUAUCGGACGCCUGUCAACAGGCAGAAGAAUAAGCGAAAUGCGAAUAUGUUGACUACACUCGUAGAAGCUUAAGUGCCGAUAUUUCUGGACGUGGGUUCGAUUCCCACCGUCUCCACCA
rfam:Bacillus circulans strain RIT379 contig23, whole genome shotgun sequence.